UGAGAGAGUAGAUUAAUGGUAGAUCAGCGGUCUCCAAAACCGUUAGUACAAGUUCGAAUCUUGUCUCUCUUGU
rnacentral:tRNA from 1 species